rnacentral:tRNA from 3 species
GGAAGGGCAACCACCCUGGUGGGUGGGCCGGGCUUCAAACCCGGUGGGUGGCGCCAAGCGCCGCCGGGUGGGUUCGACUCCCAUGCCUUUCCGCCA